rnacentral:ncRNA from 1 species
CACCUCUUGGUGAAAAUUAAGCCGAAAAGAGCAAGGUUUAGUAGCAUAGUCGAAAUACCUUGAGGCUAAUAAGAAA